UACGAAGGGGACUAGCGUUGUUCGGAAUUACUGGGCGUAAAGCGCACGUAGGCGGAUCUUUAAGUCAGGGGUGAAAUCCUGGAGCUCAACUCCAGAACUGCCUUUGAUACUGGGGAUCUCGAGUCCGGAAGAGGUGAGUGGAACUCCGAGUGUAGAGGUGAAAUUCGUAGAUAUUCGGAAGAACACCAGUGGCGAAGGCGGCUCACUGGUCCGGUACUGACGCUGAGGUGCGAAAGCGUGGGAGCAACAGG
rnacentral:rRNA from 1 species